rnacentral:rRNA from 1 species
ACGCUCGACACCUACGGGAGGUAGCAGUGAGGAAUAUUGGUCAAUGGGCGCUAGCCUGAACCAGCCAAGUAGCGUGAAGGAUGAAGGCUCUAUGGGUCGUAAACUUCUUUUAUAUAAGAAUAAAGUGCAGUAUGUAUACUGUUUUGUAUGUAUUAUAUGAAUAAGGAUCGGCUAACUCCGUACCAGCAGCCGCGGUAAUCUGAGCGGGCUGGCAAGGC